UACGUAGGGUGCAGGCGUUAAUCGGAAUUACUGGGCGUAAAGCGUGCGCAGGCGGUCUGCUAAGAGAGGUGUGAAAUCCCCGGGCUUAACCUGGGAACUGCGCUUCUAACUGGCAGGCUAGAGUGUGGAAGAGGAGAGUGGAAUUCCCGGUGUAGCGGUGAAAUGCGCAGAUAUCGGGAAGAACACCCGUGGCGAAGGCGGCUCUCUGGGACGGUACCGACGCUGAGACGCGAAAGCGUGGGGAGCGAACAGG
rnacentral:rRNA from 1 species